rnacentral:piRNA from 1 species
UAUGAAAUUCGUUCCUUUCAUUUUUAAUUU